rnacentral:rRNA from 1 species
CCUACGGGUGGCAGCAGUGAGGAAUAUUGGUCAAUGGGCGCAAGCCUGAACCAGCCAAGUCGCGUGAAGGAUGACUGCCCUACGGGUUGUAAACCUCUUUUAUAAAGGAGUAAAGUCGGGCACGUGUCCCUUUAUGUAUGGACUUUAUGAAAAAGGAUCGGCUAACUCCGUGCCAGCAGCCGCGGUAAUACGGAGGAUCCGAGCGUUAUCCGGAUUUAUUGGGUUUAAAGGGAGCGUAGAUGGGUUGUUAAGUCAGUUGUGAAAGUUUGCGGCUCAACCGUAAAAUUGCAAUUGAUACUGGCAGUCUUGAGUACAGUUGAGGUAUGCGGAAUUCGUGGUGUAGCGGUGAAAUGCUUAGAUAUCACGAAGAACUCCGAUUGCGAAGGCAGCUUACUAAACUGCAACUGACACUGAUGCUCGAAAGUGUGGGUAUCAAACAGGAUUAGAUACCCCUGUAGUC